GACAAGGCUAAGAAGCAGUCAGUGGGUGAACCAGCUGUGACAGAAUGGCCUUUUUAUUAACAGCAGCCUUGGUUUUCCAGACUUUACUGGGAAAUGCUGCUGGAGAAGGAUGGGAAUCAUAUCUCAAUUUUUCCAUUUGGAACCACACAUUUUAUUUCUAUGACAAUUACACAGAUGACUAUCUUCCAGAAAACGCCACAGAUUAUUAUUAUUAUUCAGAAUAUGUCACAGCUGGUUAUCGUGAAUUUGAAGCUUUGUUUGCAAAGAAUUUGACAGAGUCGGCAGGAUCAUCACUCCAGGGCCAUCUUCCCUUCUUCUUUGUCCUCCUCCAUCUUCUAUGGUUUUUGCUACAACAAUUCACACUUCUUUUGUAGAGGAUACUGAGGUUCUGUAUUGGAUGUGAACAGCUUUGCUUUGAAUUAGAACAUUCCUCAAGGAGGAAAACAAAGAACUCUGUCACACAUGUAAAUUACUUCCCCUACAAUGAAUCAGUCAUUUUUUUUAGUGCAGUUUAUGUAUUUAUGUAGAAACACAAACUUACGUAACAGCUAUGUUUCCUCAUAAGUAGUAUAAAUUGCAUAAAUGUUGACUAGCUGUUUGUAUCUUCUGUAUUUCUUCCUCUCACAUUUCCUCACUAUCAUUCACUGGGUCCUAUUGUAAAUAUGAAAUAUGUGCCAACAAAAUGAAGCACUGGCUGAUCACUCCAGAUCUUUCAGUGCUAUCUGAUGUUCUGACAUCACUGGAUCAACUGCUGCUAUCUCCCUGGAAUGCAAGCCCUUGGAUCUGCUGUUGAAUAGUUUCAGCUGCAUCCAGAAAAAAGAGUCUGCCUUAUAGCUGUUGAAACAAACACGAUAUAAAGGGGACUAUGGAGCAAGUGUACCUACCAGUUCACCUCCCCUAAAACAAUCACCAUUACAUUUAAAAUGGAUGUUGCCCGCUGGCCAUGUUUAUGUCUGUGUUCCUGUUCACUCUAGACGGAGUUUCAGGUCUCUGGCUUCCAAUGACCAUAGAUCGUGCAAACUCUCUCACAUGAGUAGUCCUGUAAGUAGAUAUGUCAGAAAGAGAGGGGGCUCAGAUACAGAUGACAAAUGAUUAGAUACUUCUGUAUGAGGAAAGACUGAAAAAAGUGGGACUACUUUGGAGAGGAGAAGAAUAAAGGAUAUGACUGAGACAUACAAAAUAAAAAGUGGUGGAGAAUCUCAUUCAGGCACUCCCAUGUACCCUCACACAUAGUAUAAGAUCAAGUGAAACUGAAAUGCAACAAAUAUGUAACUGACAAAAGACAAUGCGUUCUUACACAAGGCCUAAUUAACAUGUGGAACUCAGUGCUGCAAGCUCUCUCAAGAGAUUCUCUUGUGUGUUGAUGGCUGUCUGCUCCAACCCUUCCCACACUCCUCCCUUUGUCUCUCCAGACCCUGACUCCAGAAAAGAGGUUUGGGUCAAUAGGGCCUCACUGGUUGAUGACCUGGACAUAAAUGGGGUAGAUGGAUGAAGAUUAAUUCAGCUUCUUCCCUCUCCACCUAGGAUGCUGGGGUGGAGCCUCACACAACAGCUGCCCCUCAUUGCCUCCUUCUGACUCCCUUCUCAUCUGCUCUGUUCCCAUCACUCCUCUCUUUCCUUGUCUUUCCAUUUAGCUAAUCCCUGCUAAUUGAACACUCCCACUCUAAAACAACUUUCAUCUAAUUAACGCAACCUUUCCCACAAUCACAUUAUUCAUACUGCUUCCAAGUUAUAUCCUUUCCCUCAGUUCUUAAUGUGUAAUGAAAGAGGUGCUGGAGC